GAUGAACGCUGGCGGCGUGCCUAAUACAUGCAAGUCGAACGAACGGAAGAAAAGCUUGCUUUUUGGAAGUUAGUGGCGAACGGGUGAGUAAUACAUAACCAACCUGCCUACAAGGACUGGGAUAACGUUUGGAAACGAACGCUAAGACCGGAUAGGUAAUCGGAAGGCAUCUUCUGAUUAUUAAAGGUGAGAAACACAAGUAGAUGGGGUUAUGUCGCAUUAGUUAGUUGGUGAGGUAAUGGCUCACCAAGACGAUGAUGCGUAGCCGGCCUGAGAGGGUGAACGGCCACAUUGGGACUGAGACACGGCCCAAACUCCUACGGGAGGCAGCAGUAGGGAAUUUUCGGCAAUGGGCGCAAGCCUGACCGAGCAACGCCGCGUGAGUGAAGACGGCCUUCGGGUUGUAAAGCUCUGUUGUAAAGGAAGAACGGCCUGGAUAGGAUCUAGGAGUGACGGUACUUUACCAGAAAGCCACGGCUAACUACGUGCCAGCCGCCGCGGUAAUAC
rnacentral:rRNA from 1 species